UACGAAGGGGGCUAGCGUUGCUCGGAAUCACUGGGCGUAAAGCGCACGUAGGCGGAUUGCUAAGUCAGGGGUGAAAUCCUGGAGCUCAACUCCAGAACUGCCUUUGAUACUGGCGACCUUGAGUCCGGGAGAGGUGAGUGGAACUGCGAGUGUAGAGGUGAAAUUCGUAGAUAUCGGGAGGAACACCAGUGGCGAAGGCGACUUCCUGGCCUGUUCUUGACGCUGAGGCGCGAAAGCUAGGGUAGCAAACGGG
rnacentral:rRNA from 1 species